ensembl:lncRNA
CUUGGAAACAUCCAUGCUUUUCUCAUUCCCACAGGAUUCUGGGACUUUUUUUGAUGCUGAUAACUUUCACUUGAUUUUAGCACUGCUGGCUUCCUGUGAUGCCUAGACUACACAUCUCUACUAGUUUACAUUUGAGAAAUGAAAUCAACUUAGAAAAAACAAGUCUCUUCUACAUGUGGAGCAUCAAUCAAACAAACCAAUGAAGAGGAAAAGAAGUGGAAAUGGAGUGUGACAUCUGUGGGAUAGCCUUCCUUUCAUCUCCAUGUUACUUACAGGAAAACACCAUUCCUUCAUUAUUCUCUGUGUUAUCCAUGCAAUAAUUGCAGUUCAAGAGAAAGAUGGCCCAACAAUCUUCCUGGCUUUGAUCUGCUGAACUGAAGAUCCUAGUGGAUUAUGGUUGUAGAGUAAGUACGUGACAACAUCCCAGAUGGUGGUACACCUCAUAUUGUGGCUUUUCCUGGCAUCCCAGCAGCUGAAAUGAGAAUAAUACUUUCAUUAUAAACCAAAUGAAAAGAGAAGAUAUUCUGAUCAUAGCUGACAUCUGACCUUUCAGUUAUGAAGUUCAGUGACCUACAAAGCACUUUUUUUUUUUUGCUUUUAAUGCCAAGAGAAGCAGAUCUUCCCCUGGAACAAAUGAUGUCUUUGCCAGUCUAAUAUUUUAGGGGCUUGCAUAAAUACAAAUAGCAUUUGUUAGGUUGUCCUUGCCAAAUCCUUUACAAUCAAAUCAUAAAUUGGCGUAUAGUCAGAGAAUUUAUAUGCAUUCAUGACUUUUUUUUCCAGACAAAAAUGCCAACAUUCAACUUUCCAGAGUGUGACAAUCUGUGCUUUAUGCAGAGGAUCAUAUCCAUACAAAAAACAGAAAACGACAGUGGAAGACACUCUGGAGGAGCAUAGAAUCAUAGAAUGAAUUAAGACAACAGACUAGAUGGGGAGCAAUAUGUCACCUUCUCUGGACACUGAUUUCUUCAGAAGGCAUUUUCCUGCAACAUGAAUAUUGGGUUCAAGUCUCCAUUUUUAAUGUGACAGAGUUCGGGCAUGAUGGUAAUAUUUCUGCCAAAAUCGACUACAGUAAUCUUAAUUCCCUAUAGGCAGCCUAAUGCCUGAAGACUGACGGCAAGGAAAUCUAUACUGGAAAUGAAUUUCCAUUGACAAAACUUAAUAGUUUGUCAUUGACAAGGCCUUCAGUCACUUUGAAGAAUUGGGAAAA